rnacentral:rRNA from 8 species
CAACUUUCAACAACGGAUCUCUUGGCUCUCGCAUCGAUGAAGAACGCAGCGAAAUGCGAUAAGUAAUGUGAAUUGCAGAAUUCAGUGAAUCAUCGAAUCUUUGAACGCACCUUGCGCCCCUUGGUAUUCCGAGGGGCACACCUGUUUGAGUGUCGUGA